GUCCACACUGUAAACUAGAAACUCUCAGACUGAGCAGCUGUUCCCUCUCAGAUGAAGGAUGUUCAGCUCUGUCCUCAGUUCUCAGCUCCCAGUCCUCCAGGCUGACAGAACUGGACCUGAGUAUCUCCGACUCAGGAGUGAAACAGCUGUCUGAUGGACUGAAGAGUCCACACUGUAAACUGGAAACUCUCAGACUGAGUGUCUGUGGCCUCUCAGAGGGAAACGUUGCAGCUCUGUCCUCAUUUCUCAGCUCCCAGUCCUUCAGGCUGACAGAACUGGACCUGAGGAUCUCCGACUCAGGAGUGAAGCAGCUGUCUGAUGGACUGAAGAGUCCACACUGUAAACUAGAAACUCUCAGGCUGUGUAUGUGUGGU